UACGUAGGGUGCGAGCGUUGUCCGGAAUUAUUGGGCGUAAAGAGCUUGUAGGCGGUUUGUCGCGUCUGCUGUGAAAUCUCAAGGCUCAACCUUGAGCUUGCAGUGGGUACGGGCAGACUAGAGUGUGGUAGGGGAGACUGGAAUUCCUGGUGUAGCGGUGAAAUGCGUAGAUAUCGGGAGGAACACCUGUGGCGAAAGCGGCUCUCUGGACCACAACUGACGCUGAGGCGCGAAAGCUAGGGGAGCAAACAGGG
rnacentral:rRNA from 1 species